CAGCGAGCGAGACGGAGGUAGAGAAAGGGAGAGAGCAAGCAUGUGUCCGGAGGUAGUGAGAGUGACACCACACGCCAGCAUGUUGAGAUGGAUCAAAUACUUUAUUAGCAAAUGACUGUCAACAUUUAUUUCAACCGCCUUAUGGUACGAGAUGGACGGGAUUCAGACCAUCGUGACAUGUCCAACAGUAUCAUAUGAAACAGCAACGUCUAGGAUAUGGACCACUGCUCCCUUGUGAUGACGCCAUGAUUCUGCUUCUGCUCGCCUCAGAGCUAUGUAUGGCAGGGGUGUCAAACAUUUCAGGUUCGGGCAAGAUACUGCCCACUUCGAUCCGACGCGGGCCAGACCAUUAAAACCAUAUAGAGGGGCGGCGCUGACGAUCCGACCGGCGGAC
ensembl:lncRNA